CACGUAGGGGGCAAGCGUUGUCCGGAUUUAUUGGGCGUAAAGAGCUCGUAGGCGGUUCGGUAAGUCGGGUGUGAAACCUCCAGGCUCAACCUGGAGACGCCACCUGAUACUGCUGUGACUCGAGUCCGGUAGGGGAGCGUGGAAUUCCUGGUGUAGCGGUGAAAUGCGCAGAUAUCAGGAAGAACACCCGUGGCGAAAGCGGCUCUCUGGAACGGUACUGACGCUGAGACGCGAAAGCGUGGGGAGCGAACAGG
rnacentral:rRNA from 1 species